AGUUAACGUUGGCGGCGUGCCUAACACAUGCAAGUCGAACGCGUCCUAAGGGCAACUUUAGGAUGAGUGGCGAACGGGUGAGUAUCACGUGGGUAAUCUUCCUUCAAGUGGGGAAUAAGCUCUCGAAAGGGAGUCUAAUACCGCAUGACAUUCCGGGACACAAGUCCCGUAAUCAAAGCCGCAAGGCGCUUGAAGAUGAGCCUGCGUCCUAUUAGCUAGUUGGUGGGGUAACGCCUACCAAGGCUUAGAUGGGUAGCCGGCCUGAGAGGGUGAACGGCCACACUGGGACUGAGACACGGCCCAGACUCCUACGGGAGGCAGCAGUUGGGAAUCUUCGGCAAUGGGCGCAAGCCUGACCGAGCAACGCCGCGUGAGUGAUGAAGGUUUUCGGAUUGUAAAGCUUUGUCUUCCGGGACGAUAAUGACGGUACCGGAGGAGGAAGCCACGGCUAACUACGUG
rnacentral:rRNA from 1 species